rnacentral:rRNA from 1 species
UACGUAGGGACCAAGCGUUGUUCGGAUUUACUGGGCGUAAAGGGCGCGUAGGCGGCGUGUUAAGUCACUUGUGAAAUCUCUAAGCUUAACUUAGAACGGUCAAGUGAUACUGAUGUGCUAGAGUGCAGAAGGGGCAACCGGAAUUCUUGGUGUAGCGGUGAAAUGCGUAGAUAUCAAGAGGAACACCUGAGGUGAAGACGGGUUGCUGGGCUGACACUGACGCUGAGGCGCGAAAACUAGGGUAGCAAACGGG